GACGAACCGAGCGAACGUUGUUCGGAAUCACUGGGCUUAAAGGGCGCGUAGGCGGGCUGCCAAGUCCGGGGUGAAAGCCUCCGGCUCAACCGGAGAACGGCCUCGGAUACUGGCGGCCUGGAGGCGGGUAGGGGCGUGCGGAACUGUGGGUGGAGCGGUGAAAUGCGUUGAGAUCCACAGGAACUCCGGUGGCGAAGGCGGCACGCUGGACCCGAACUGACGCUGAGGCGCGAAAGCCAGGGGAGCGAACGGG
rnacentral:rRNA from 1 species